GAUCAAAGUGUAGUAUCUGUUCUUAUCAGCUUAAUAUCUGAUAYGGCUCCCAUCGGGGGCCAAGAUAUUAAUCUUAUUUUUGYCAUGCGGCGGAGAGCUUGAGGCUUGCUUCACCUCCGCCACGGGUUGGC
rnacentral:snRNA from 1 species